CGACGCUGGCGGCGUGCCUAACACAUGCAAGUCGAACGCGAACGGGUCUUCGGACCCUAGUAGAGUGGCGCACGGGUGAGUAACACGUGGGCAAUCUACCCAGGGAUUUGGGAUAACCAGGGGAAACCCUGGCUAAUACCGAAUACGUCCAUGAGGCCUUCGGUCCUCAUGGAGAAAGGUGGCCUCUUCUCGAAAGCUGCCGUUCCUGGAUGAGCCCGCGGACCAUUAGCUUGUUGGUGAGGUAACGGCUCACCAAGGCCAUGAUGGUUAGCUGGUCUGAGAGGAUGAUCAGCCACACUGGGACUGACACACGGCCCAGACUCCUACGGGAGGCAGCAGUGGGGAAUAUUGCGCAAUGGGCGAAAGCCUGACGCAGCCACGCCGCGUGUGCGAUGAAGGUCUUCGGAUCGUAAAGCACUGUGGAGGGAGAAGAAUAAAGCCGGUGAAGAGCCGGCCCUGACGGUAUCCCUUUAGCAAGCACCGGCUAACUCCGUG
rnacentral:rRNA from 1 species